rnacentral:rRNA from 1 species
UACGUAGGGGGCUAGCGUUGUCCGGAAUCAUUGGGCGUAAAGCGCGUGUAGGCGGCCCGGUAAGUCCGCUGUGAAAGUCGGGGGCUCAACCCUCGGAUGCCGGUGGAUACUGUCGGGCUCGAGUACGGAAGAGGCGAGUGGAAUUCCUGGUGUAGCGGUGAAAUGCGCAGAUAUCAGGAGGAACACCAAUGGCGAAGGCAGCUCGCUGGGACGUGACUGACGCUGAGACGCGAAAGCGUGGGGAGCAAACAGG